UACGGAGGGUGCAAGCGUUAUCCGGAUUCACUGGGCUUAAAGGGCGCGUAGGCGGACAGGUAAGUCCGUGGUGAAAUCCUGCAGCUUAACUGCAGAACUGCCAUGGAUACUAUCUAUCUUGAAUGUCGUGGAGGUUAGCGGAAUAUGUCAUGUAGCGGUGAAAUGCUUAGAUAUGACAUAGAACACCCAUUGCGAAGGCAGCUAACUACGCGAUAAUUGACGCUGAUGCACGAAAGCGUGGGGAGCGAACAGG
rnacentral:rRNA from 1 species